rnacentral:rRNA from 1 species
UACCUGCAGCUCAAGUGGUGACCGCUAUUAUUGGGCCUAAAACGUUCGUAGCCGGCUGAGUAAAUGCUUGGGUAAAUCGUGUAGCUUAACUAUACGAAUUCCGGGUAGACUGCUUAGCUUGAGACCGGGAGAAGCUAGAGGUACUCCUGGGGUAGAGGUGAAAUUCUGUAAUCCUGGGGGGACCACCAGUGGCGAAGGCGUCUAGCUAGAACGGGUCUGACGGUGAGGGACGAAACCCUGGGGCGCAAACCGGAUUAGAUACCUGGGUAGUCCAGGGCGCAAACGCUGCUUGCUUGAUGUUAGUCGGGCUCCGAGCUCGGCUAGUGUCGGAGAGAAGUUGUUAAGCAAGCUGCCUGGGAAUACGAUCGCAAGAUUGAAACUUAAAGGAAUUGGCGGGGAGCACAGCAACGGGUGGAGCGUGCGGUUU